rnacentral:rRNA from 1 species
UACGGAGGAUCCAAGCGUUAUCCGGAAUCAUUGGGUUUAAAGGGUCCGUAGGCGGGACAAUAAGUCAGUGGUGAAAGUCUGCAGCUUAACUGUAGAAUUGCCGUUGAAACUGUUGUUCUUGAGUCAUUAUGAAGUGGUUAGAAUAUGUAGUGUAGCGGUGAAAUGCAUAGAUAUUACAUAGAAUACCGAUUGCGAAGGCAGAUCACUAAUAAUGUACUGACGCUGAUGGACGAAAGCGUAGGUAGCGAACAGGAUUAGAAACCCCCGUAGUCC